rnacentral:rRNA from 1 species
ACGGACCCAAAAUUACUGGUUCAAGCAUGGUUUUCGAAUUUUUUCAUGCAUCAAAACUCGUUAAGACUAGAUGGUGUAUCCCUACAUAGCGGGUGGGACCCACGGCGAAUGGUUCAUCAAGUCUUCAAAAAAGAAUAUAUACGAUUGCAUUGCAUAUACUAACGGAUGCGAUCAUGCCAGCACUAAUGCACCGGAUCCCAUCAGAACUCCGCAGUCAAGCGUGCUUGGGCGAGAGUAGUACUAGGAUGGGUGACCUCCCGUGAAGUCCUCGUGUUGCAUCCCUCUUUUAUGUUUAACCUUUUU